UACGUAGGGACCGAGCGUUGUCCGGAUUCAUUGGGCGUAAAGAGCUCGUAGGCGGCCACUCAAGUCGAAUGUGAAACCUCGAGGCUUAACCUCGAGCCUGCAUUCGAUACUGGGCGGCUAGAGUCUGGUAGGGGGAUCUGGAAUUCCUGGUGUAGCGGUGGAAUGCGCAGAUAUCAGGAGGAACACCGGUGGCGAAAGCGCGCUACUGGGCCAUUACUGACACUCAUGGACGAAAGCUAGGGGAGCGAAAGGG
rnacentral:rRNA from 1 species